UACGUAGGGGGCGAGCGUUAUCCGGAUUUACUGGGUGUAAAGGGAGCGUAGACGGCGAUGCAAGUCUGGAGUGAAAACCCAGGGCUCAACUCUGGGAUUGCUUUGGAAACUGUAUAGCUGGAGUGCAGGAGAGGCAGGCGGAAUUCCUAGUGUAGCGGUGAAAUGCGUAGAUAUUAGGAGGAACACCAGUGGCGAAGGCGGCCUGCUGGACUGAGACUGACGUUGAGGCUCGAAGGCGUGGGGAGCAAACAGG
rnacentral:rRNA from 1 species